UGAACUUGAGUUCCUUCCUUUUCUAUAGCUUCGAUAGAAUCACGAUCGUCCACCGUUUCAAUUUCGAUAUCUUCUUCAGUACGAGUUGCCGAUAAGGAUUUCGAAGCUUUGGGCGGCGUCUUCUUCGCUGGAACCGCUGGUUGCGCCUCUUUGAUGGCCUGCCGAGAGUCCUUGGAAGACUUAUUUUUUGUAGCAAUAUUUUUCG
rnacentral:lncRNA from 1 species